UACGGAAGGGGCAAGCGUUGUUCGGAAUCAUUGGGCGUAAAGGGCGCGUAGGUGGUUCUGUAUGUCUACCGUGAAAGCGUACGGCUCAACCGUAUUUUGUCGGUAGAAACUGCAGGACUUGAGGCUGGGAGGGGCUGGUGGAAUUCCCUGUGUAGCGGUGAAAUGCGUAGAGAUGGGGGAGAACACUCGUGGCGAAGGCGGCCAGCUAGACCAGUUCUGACACUGAGGCGCGACAGCGUGGGGGAGCAAAACAGG
rnacentral:rRNA from 1 species